AGACCCGAAACCCGGUGAUCUAGCCAUGGGCAGGUUGAAGGUUGGGUAACACUAACUGGAGGACCGAACCGACUAAUGUUGAAAAAUUAGCGGAUGACCUGUGGCUGGGGGUGAAAGGCCAAUCAAACCGGGAGAUAGCUGGUUCUCCCCGAAAGCUAUUUAGGUAGCGCCUCGUGAAUUCAUCUCCGGGGGUAGAGCACUGUUUCGGCUAGGGGGCCAUCCCGGCUUACCAACCCGAUGCAAACUGCGAAUACCGGAGAAUGUUAUCACGGGAGACACACGGCGGGUGCUAACGUCCGUCGUGAAGAGGGAAACAACCCAGACCGCCAGCUAAGGUCCCAAAGUCAUGGUUAAGUGGGAAACGAUGUGGGAAGGCCCAGACAGCCAGGAUGUUGGCUUAGAAGCAGCCAUCAUUUAAAGAAAGCGUAAUAGCUCACUGGUCGAGUCGGCCUGCGCGGAAGAUGUAACGGGGCUAAACCAUGCACCGAAGCUGCGGCAGCGACGCUUAUGCGUUGCUGGGUAGGGGAGCGUUCUGUAAGCCUGCGAAGGUGGCCUGUGAGGGUUGCUGGAGGUAUC
rnacentral:rRNA from 1 species